GAUCCUGGCUCAGGACGAACGCUGGCGGCGUGCCUAACACAUGCAAGUCGAACGGAGUUACUUCGAUGAAGUUUUCGGAUGGAUUUGAUUUAACUUAGUGGCGGACGGGUGAGUAACGCGUGAGCAACCUGCCUUUCAGAGGGGGACAACAGUUGGAAACGACUGCUAAUACCGCAUAAAACAGCGAGGAGGCAUCUCCUUACUGUCAAAGAUUUAUCGCUGAAAGAUGGGCUCGCGU
rnacentral:rRNA from 1 species